rnacentral:rRNA from 1 species
CAGAAACUACAAAGGAAGUUGACGGGGCCCGGCACAAGCGGAGGAGCAUGUGGUUUAAUUCGAUGAUACGCGAGGAACCUUACCUGGGCUCGAACGUAAGAUGACUGUAGGUGAAAGCUUACAUCUCUUCGGAGCAUUUUACGAGGUGCUGCAUGGUUGUCGUCAGCUCGUGCCGUGGGGUGUCGGGUUAAGUCCCAUAACGAGCGCAACCCCUACCUUUAGUUGCCAUCAGGUUAAGCUGGGGACUCUAAAGGAACUGCCUACGCAAGUAGUGAGGAAGCGGGGAUGACGUCAAAUCAGCACGGCCCUUACGUCCAGGGCUACACACGUGCUACAAUGGCCGAUACAGAGGGCAGCUACCUGGUGACAGGAUGCAAAUCUCCAAAGUCGGUCUCAGUUCGGAUCGGAGUCUGCAACCCGACUCCGUGAAGUUGGAUUCGCUAGUAAUCGCGCAUCAGCCAUGGCGCGGUGAAUACGUUCCCGGGCCUU